GCUGGGUGUGGUGGCUCACACCUGUAAUCCCAGCACUUUGGGAGGCUGAGGUGGGCGGAUCACCUGAGGUCAGGAGUUCAAGACCAGCCUGGCCAACAUGGUGAAAACCCGUCUCUA
rnacentral:sRNA from 1 species